ensembl:lncRNA
CCUCACUCUCAGUGGCCUUUAAUCUGGCUCAACUCAUUGAGAAGAAUCAUUUGCCAGCUUGAGUUCAUGGACAUUUUUUUAUUUCUGGAAGGUAAUUUCAUUUUAGGUUUCAGUGAUUGAUGCCCCCCCAGAUGGAAACGAUAGGCUUGAUGGCCCCAACGGCUGCCAAGAUAAUGGCAACAGACGAGUAACAGAAAACCCUCGACAGUGUAAACACGAGGCCGCUAUCCAAACCGCCGCGGCGUUUGGGCCGGAGCCGCCAUUGACUGGCGUAAUCUGCCGCGUUAAUCCGCAGCUCGGCCAUGUCUGACUGCUGUCUGGGUUCCGUGCACUGGGACAAAAGCGACGGACACCUUGCCCACUGACAAAGGGCCGGGCCCUAAUCGGAGUGGACAAGGCUUGCUGAUGGAGCCUUUUUGAGCAAUUGAACUUGGUCAAUGGAUCUUAGAGGACCUAAUGAAACAUAAGCAGCGGCCACUUUGACUCCAGCAGCGUCCGUCACAGAACUGAAGUUGUGCGCUGACCCGCGAUGACCUUCGUGAAAGCAUGUCGGCGUCGGACCUGAGAAGAUUGUGAUGGUGUUGACCCCGCGGGGCCACAUAGGUGUUGUACAUUUAGUCCCUUUCAUCGUCAUUGUGGAAUUCAGUUUCGGGCUUUGAAGGAAAUUUUUGGACUGAUGUGGCGCCAUUCGGUUGCUUUGUUUUCGUCCUGGAAAGCCACGACGGAGGAGAACAGGCCUCGGUGUGUCUCCGGAGCAGACCGUUUGGGAUAGAGGACAUGCUGUUCUUCUUUGAUAGUUUGAGGAAGGAGACUGGGUUCCUUUUAGAAAGCCCUGAGGAAUGUGUAUGGGAAAACCUGUGUGGGCCGCUGGAAUCUGCUCAAAGAGAAGGAGUGGAGCACGAGUGCAGGGAGCUCGCCGCGGGAGAGAGGAACUGGUCUUUGUGAUCAGAAAUUCUGUGGAAAAGUGCACAUUGUUUCCAGCCAGACAUAUUUUUUGUUCUCCUGGUCCCGUGAUUCACCUACAAGGUCUCAGGCUCACUGACCCCUUGUAGCUGGAUGCCCACGAUGCCCACGAGUCCACGACUCUGCAUUUCAUUUACCAAUUAGUUCUGCGAACAAACCGCUUUGCUGUCCCAAUGUUGGUUAUUGUGUAAGUGUAAACAGUCAGCAAGUUGGCAAAAAACUAAAUGUCGGAGCAGUAUAGACAUUACAUUGUUUUAUUUGUAAGGAU